rnacentral:rRNA from 1 species
UACGGAAGGCAGCAGUGGGGAAUAUUGCACAAUGGGCGAAAGCCUGAUGCAGCUAUGCCGCGUGUAUGAAGAAGGCCUUAGGGUUGUAAAGUACUUUCAUCGGGGAGGAAAAACAAAACUAAUAAUUUUAUUUCUUGACGUUACCCGAAAAAGAAGCACCGGCUAACUCCGUGCCAGCAGCCGCGGUAAUACGGAGGGUGCUAGCGUUAAUCAGAAUUACUGGGCGUAAAGAGCACGUAGGUGGUUUUUUUAAGUCAGAUGUGAAAUCCCUGGGCUUAACCUAGGAACUGCAUUUGAAACUGAAAUACUAGAGUAUCGUAGAGGGAGGUAGAAUUCUAGGUGUAGCGGUGAAAUGCGUAGAUAUCUGGAGGAAUACCUGUGGCGAAAGCGGCCUCCUAAACGAAUACUGACACUGAGGUGCGAAAGCGUGGGGAGCAAACAGGGAUUAGAUACC